AUGCGCCGAUGGCAUGCACGCGAGCCUCUCGAACCGGUCCAUGGAUUCGCGGAAGGGGCCUCCGGCUGGGUCCUCGGUGUUGUACCAGUAGUGGUGCGACAUCUCCAGCCUGAGCCGCAGCUCGGACAUGGCCGGGCAGGAGGCGAGCAGCCUCGCCACUGCCACCGCUGUGCUUCUGUCCCCGUCCUUGCACUUGCCGUGCACUUGGAGGAGCUUGAGGUUUGGGAACGUGGGCAAGAUGGCCUUGCCGGCCAGGAUGUCUUCAAUGCUGUCCAGCCGCAGCUUGAGCGCCCUCGUGCUGGAGAAGCUGGUGAGCAUGCGCGACGUGGACUCGUACUGCUGGACGUUUUGGUUGCGGCGAGUGGCGUCGAGGUUGACGCGUGCCAGCGCCGGCGCGGGCGUUGCAAGCGAGAGCUUGAGAGGGUACCCGCUGUAGCGGAAGGAGCGCAGGCUCGGCAUGUCGAGCUCGAUGCCCGUGUUGGCGGGAUCGUCGAGCUCAUGCCAGCCGAGAUAAUGGGUCUCGAGCACCAGGGCGGCGACCGUGGGACAGCGGAGGCGGAGGCGCAGGCUGAAAGUUUCAUGCAUGUAAAUCGUCUUGUUGGAACCAGGUGGCUCCGGCGAGUUCUGACGGAGGUUCACCAGCACCAGGCUGGUCAGCGCCGGCGCGUUGUCGACCAGGACCUGGAGAUGCCCCUCCAAGGCGAAGCAGUGGCGCAGCGUGAGAUCCGUGAGGCGCGGGAAGGCCAGGCGCGCCGACGGCGGUGGCGGCUCGAGGUUGCAGCGCUCGAGCUCCAGCACCCGGAGUGUGGCGGCCCAUGGCAGGGAGCCCAGCGGCGGGCUGUACAUGUCGUCGCACUGGCUUUGCUUCUCGGAGCCAAUGCGGAGGUCUUCCAGCCCGGCCGCGGCGGGGUCGGCGAGGAGGCCGGCGACCCUGACGUCCUCUUUCGGUCCGGGGUUGCUGUACCAUCUGGUCAAGAGGCGGUAGGCGCCUUCGGUGAGGAAGAGCGUGAGCCUCUUGAGGGCCGUCCCGCGGCGGGUGGCGGCGAGGGCCGCCUUGGCGUCGCGGAAGAAGACGUCGAAGCAGGCGUAGCGAUCUUCGGCGGAGUAGUGUCUGCUGUCGAGGUUGAGGACGCCCGUGCGGCGCCACAGGGGACGCCAUUGGCGCGAGAGGACGGCGCUGGCCGCGGCCUCCUUGGCCGGCGCGAAGGACAGUACGUGGUGGAGAAGAUCGUCAGGGAGGGCGGAGAGAGGGUCGGCGGCGGCGGCCAUCGUGGACGCGGGCGUCUCGGCUAG
rnacentral:rRNA from 1 species